GACAUACUAAGAACUUUCCAGAGAUGGAUUGGUGCCUUCGGGAACUUAGAUACAGGUGCUGCAUGGCUGUCGUCAGCUCGUGUCGUGAGAUGUUGGGUUAAGUCCCGNAACGAGCGCAACCUUUUCCUAUUUGCCAGCGGGUCAUGCCGGGAACUUUAAGGAUACUGCCAGUGACAAACUGGAGGAAAGGCGGGGACGACGUCAAGUCAUCAUGGCCCUUACGGCCAGGGCUACACACGUGCUACAAUGGUCGGUACAAAGGGUUGCUACCUCGCGAGAGGAUGCUAAUCUCAAAAAGCCGAUCGUAGUCCGGAUCGCAGUCUGCAACUCGACUGCGUGAAGUCGGAAUCGCUAGUAAUCGCGGAUCAGAAUGCCGCGGUGAAUACGUUCCCGGGCCUUGUACACACCGCCCGUCACACCAUGGGAGUUUGUUGCACCAGAAGUAGGUAGUCUAACCGCAAGGAGGACGCUUACCACGGUGUGGCCGAUGACUGGGGUGAAGUCGUAACAAGGUAAGCGUAGAUGA
rnacentral:rRNA from 1 species